rnacentral:tRNA from 1 species
GAUCUGGUAGCUCAGCUGGUAGAGCACUUGACUUUUAAUCAAGUGGCCGCGGGUUCGAUUCCCGCCCAGAUCACCA